AUGAGAGUGGAGGGAGUGGGGAGUCCAGCAGGGCCCAUUGGAGCACUGGAGCCACCGCUGUGGAGGGGCUCUGGUCCCAGCACCAGACAUCUCUGGUGGUGGGAGUGUGCUGGCCAGAGAGCCUCAGGAAUGGUCAGUCCAGGAAGUUUCCUUAACACCCCCUUCUGCACAGCUGCUGCAGGAAGCACGGCCUCGCUGACCCUUCCAACAACUCUGCCUGUCCCUUCUGACUGCAUCCAUCAGAGCAGCAAUAACAGGGCCGUGUUCCACAGAAGGACUGAAUUAAGGAACCCUUUGCCAAAAGCUGCUGCAUGUCAAGAAAGCUUUCCUGGUGUUCGAGGGGAGUACAGACCCAGGUGAGGAAAAGAGCUCCACUGAAGACUGUAAAUAGAGAAAUGUCAGCAGGGACCCCAGAGAAGUCACAGCCCCAGGGCCGGUGGCUGUCCCAGAACUGAAGGAGUCAGGAAAUACCAGGGACCUUUCCCAGGACUGAACCCUGCUCUAUUUCCUCCCACUACCCUUUCCUAUUUUCCUUCCUUCUCCUUUUCCUAUUUUCCUUUCCUCCUUCCUUCCUCUGGUCUGAAAGGAGGGAAAGCAUAUAAAUAGCAUAAAACACUCAAUAUUUGAGGGGUUUUCUCCUGAAAGCAGAGCAAUAGAGUGAUGGCUUCUUAAAAGGUAACAAUGAAUAGAUGAUGUGCAUGUGGAACUGUCCUGAAUGUGCCUCUGCUAUUGAUGACUGAUGAGCACAGACAUUUACCUGAGAUCACCACUCAUGGAAAGGUGGUUGUGCUUCCAGGAAUAGGUCACCCCACUUCUCACAGUCAGAGACAAUUUGUUUUCUCUGUCUCUCAUUGUCUUUCUCUCAUAUUUAGAAGGAGCCCUGACAACUGGUUUAGAUAGGAAAAUUAUUUCAUGCAGGGCCAGAUCUGCAAUCCUGAACCAAAGCUGAAGCUUUGAGGGGAAAAAGAAAAGGAAGGGGGAAAGAGAGGAGAAGGGAGAAGGAAAAAGAAAAUGAUGGGGAGGGGGAAGGUGCGGGAAGGGAAGGUGCGGGAAGGGAAGGUGCGGGAAGGGAAGGUGCGGGAAGGGAAGGGAAGG
rnacentral:lncRNA from 1 species